rnacentral:rRNA from 1 species
GAUGAACGCUAGCUACAGGCUUAACACAUGCAAGUCGAGGGGUCUUUUGGAGCUUGCUUUGAAAGACGACCGGCGCACGGGUGAGUAACGCGUAUCCAACCUGCCCUUCAUAUUGGGAUAGCCUUCCGAAAGGAAGAUUAAUACCGAAUAACAUGAGAGAGUUGCCUGAUUUUCUCAUGAAAGCUCCGGCGAUGAAGGAUGGGGAUGCGUUCCAUUAGGUAGUAGGCGGGGUAACGGCCCACCUAGCCAACGAUGUCUAGGGGUUCUGAGAGGAAGGUCCCCCACACUGGAACUGAGACACGGUCCAGACUCCUACGGGAGGCAGCAGUGAGGAGUAUUGGUCAAUGGUCGGAAGACUGAACCAGCCAAGUAGCGUGAAGGAUGAAGGUUCUAUGGAUUGUAAACUUCUUUAUAUAGGAAUAAAACCUCCCACGUGUGGGAGCUUGUAUGUACUAUAUGAAUAAGCAUCGGCUAACUCCGUG